UACGUAGGGUGCAAGCGUUAAUCGGAAUUACUGGGCGUAAAGCGUGCGCAGGCGGUUUUGUAAGUCUGUCGUGAAAGCCCCGGGCUCAACCUGGGAAUUGCGAUGGAGACUGCAAGGCUUGAAUCUGGCAGAGGGGGGUAGAAUUCCACGUGUAGUAGUGAAAUGCGUAGAGAUGUGGAGGAACACCGAUGGCGAAGGCAGCCCCCUGGGUCAAGAUUGACGCUCAUGCACGAAAGCGUGGGGAGCAAACAGG
rnacentral:rRNA from 1 species